GAUGAACGCUGGCGGCGUGCCUAAUACAUGCAGGUCGAACGCUUCACUUCGGUGAAGAGUGGCGAACGGGUGAGUAAUACCUAAGUAACCUGGCAUCUACAGGGGGAUAACUGAUGGAAACGUCAGCUAAGACCGCAUAGGUGUAGAGAUCGCAUGAACUCUAUAUGAAAAGUGCUACGGGACUGGUAGAUGAUGGACUUAUGGCGCAUUAGCUUGUUGGUAGGGUAACGGCCUACCAAGGCGACGAUGCGUAGCCGACCUGAGAGGGUGACCGGCCACACUGGGACUGAGACACGGCCCAGACUCCUACGGGAGGCAGCAGUAGGGAAUUUUCGGCAAUGGGGGAAACCCUGACCGAGCAACGCCGCGUGAAGGAAGAAGUAAUUCGGUAUGUAAACUUCUGUCAUAGAGGAAGAACGGUGGAUAUAGGGAAUGAUAUCCAAGUGACGGUACUCUAUAAGAAAGCCACGGCUAACUACGUG
rnacentral:rRNA from 1 species